rnacentral:misc_RNA from 1 species
GAUGAAGAACGUAGUGAAAUGCGAUAAUUAAUGCGAAUUGCAGAAUUCCGUGAAUCAUCGAGUCUUUGAACGCACAUUGCGCCUCAUGGCAUUCCGUGAGGCAUGCCCAUCUCAGCGUUAGAAAAUAUUCUCAAAUUUUAGUUUUGUGCUAAAAUUUGGAUCAUGUCAAGGAAGCUAUUACUAUUAUUGUGAUCGCUCUUUGGAAAUUGAUAGGUCUUUGAGUUGCUACUCAUAGAACGUGAUGAAUCUUUCUUCGUUCUAUUGUAAUUCACUCUGGUAGUCCUAAAACUUGUAUGCCUGUGGCAUAUCUUGUAAUUUGACCUGAGAUUGGGUAGGGAUACCCGCUGAACUUAAGCAUAUCAAUAAGCGGAGGA